CACCACUGAUCUCGAUGGUAAAAGGCUGGAUCGCGGAUAGGGAGCGCGAGCGUGAAGAAACCGGCCGCCAUCUUACGGUGCCCACGACAGUCGCCGCAGCGAUCAUGGCAACUUCUUGCAAUUACGGUCGUACCAACCGUACUGGCAAGGUUACAGGGCCUAAAUUUAUACAGGUUUCGUCAUGAGGGCUACCCAGUGAAUAAUCUGUGCAGUGUGAUACGGCUGGGUGUGCAGGUUACUUCACAGCUGCCUCGACAUACUCAAGAAAUGGGUGCAGAACCUGCGUAAUGCCCACAAACUUUG